UGAAAAACUGGAAAAAUUGUAAGAAGCGUUAAACAAAAAGUUGUGAAACUCCUACAGGAGAUGUUAGUUUUGUCUAACGGUUUGUGAGUUGCUCCAGGAGAAGCCUGCCUUUUUCUCUAUUGCGCAGUUUGACAAGAUCAAAUACAAAAAUUCUACACAAGCAAGUUAAUUCAGUGCUUUCUUGUCCCAAAUAAAAGACAGAAGAAUAAUAGUUCUAGUGAAAAGUUAAAGAAACUUUGAACAAAUGUUUUCUGCAGUUAUCAAAUCAACAGAACAUUAAUUUCCAAUGAGAACAAACAAACAACACCCUUGUAUUAUAUAAUCCUAAUUAAACGUCAGACCUGGAGCCACUAUUUCAUAGUCUUUGUAUUAGGCAAAGGUUGCAAAACAGUUUCUGUUGUAAAUCAUCCUGUUAGAAUGUUCCACUCAAAUACGUAAUUUUCUACACUUUCUUCCCGUCAAACAUUUCCGACUUACAGGGAAAUGAAAAGUAUACUAUUUUUCUCUUUCAAAAUAACAGCAGCUAUGCAGAAAAAGAGGAAAAAUGAAAAAUCAUUCUGGGCAGCAUAGUACAAAGACAGUAAGGACAGUGCUUUACAAAUUGGGUGCUUUUACGGAUAGGAGUAUUUAAAAGGAAUUUUUCCAUCAUUAGUAAAUAUGGUCAAAGUCACAUGUAGUAAGACAGACAGCAGGAGUAAUUCUGUAGCAAUGAUUAAUUGAACAUGGCCUAUAUGGAAAGGUGACAGCUUGCGUUAAAUGUCAGUGGGAGACUACACCGAACCUUUGCGCUUACUAGUUUUAUUUCAUGUGUUUUGAGAGGUCUUGAAAAACUUCCCUGAGGUUCUGUGAUUUUUUCAACUGUAUCAGUUACCAACCUAAUAAUACACGUUCUCUCUCACACCGAACCUUCAUGCACGUUCAGAUAGACAGAGUAGGAAUAUCUGCCUCUCGGAAAACUCAAGAACUUUUAUCCCUCUGUUCCAAAAUCUUUUUCCAGUGGCCUCAAUGAUGGUAGGUUAUAGGAGGCCUUCACACCAACUCACGUUUAUUUCAGUUAAUCUAAACUUGUACCUUUUGUGGUGCCUCAGCUAGGAAAAAUCUGUCUUUCCCUGGAAGCAGGGGAAGAUUAAUGCUGUUCAAAGGCAUCAGCUGGUGAAGAGUGGUUUGCUGAGGCCAGUUGCCCUUGAAGGUCUGAAUGUAAACUGAGGCAAGCUGUGUGAGUCUGUCUAUUCUCCGUCAGUUGUCAGAUAAUCAGAGCUCAUCUGAAGACCUCUGGGGUAGACCCUGCUUUCAGGGUUUUUGCAUCUGCUGUCUUCUUUCACUGUCAGAGAUGGAAACGGCAGUUUGGGCAGCAUGUGAGUGCAUCACACGGCUCUCUUCUUCGAACUCAAGCUCUUCCUGCUACCUCUCCUGUGGGUGAUGGGGAAAGGACAGGGUAGUAGCAUGGGGCAGCUGGAGCUUGGAGCUGACGCUUUAUUAACUGAAUCCAUAAAAGGAAGGUGCCAAAAUCAGGAGCUGCCUUUGGCAGCUGCGGGGAAAGGACUGUCUUGUGCUAGAUCACAGCGACUGAUGGGUUUGAGCAUGUGUGCAAGUGAACGUGCUGCUAAUUGCCAGCACAGUCCCUGGAAAGGUUUUGGCCCAGGCCAAUUAGCACCGUCCCAAACAAUGUCUGAGCACAGUCUGGGAACCAGCGUGAGCCUGGGACUGUUCCUAAUAAGCAGUGUGGAUGAGGCCAUUCUGGGUUUUGGAUUGUGUUUUUGGAGCUGGGGAGAAGAGGAGAAAGAGUUUAGUUCUACGGAUGUGAGCUGUGCCACCUCACUUUAUCAGUGACCUGAUCCUCACUUGGAUGUAUAAACACAUUUCGUAGUCAGAUUUCACAAGAGGUACCAUCACUCUGCAUUGGUGUGUUGCUCAGAGCUCACUGAUGAGCAGGCUUUCAUGCUGCCAACAUAUCCCAACAGCUUCCAUGGCUCAGUUCUUCUGGGAAAGGGCAAGUGUUCAGAUCUCUGCAGUUUCGUGGUUCCCCUCUCAUGGAAAUCCCCAGGUCUCCAUCUGCUGAGAAGACUGACCGUAGUAUACUUUAUAUGGGGAUGGAGUCUAUCACAGACCUGGUGUUACAAACCCUUCUGUUCAGAAAUGUGAAGUUGGGCUCAGAGUGUCAUGAGUUUUUUUGUUUUGCUUUGUUUUGUUUUGUUUUUUAAUAAUAAAAAUAUGGGUUACCUCCAGAUUUUAGGGCCUUUUUGUCUUACUCAGUUUGCAUAUUCAAAUUAUCCUACAGAACCAUGAAUAUUAUUUUGGAUUUUUGUUGUAAAAUGAAAUUUAAAUUGUCUCUUAAACACACAGUUUGACGGUCUAAGAUUCACAAGAGUUGCCAAAAAGUCUGUAAUAUCUGUGACUGUCCAUAUAGAAAUGAGGGGUGGAUGUCCCUGUAGUAACUGGAAUCUGAAAUCAAGAGACGGCAAAAAAAGGAAGGCAUCAUCCCAAUUGGGUUAUGCUUGCUUUGUCUCUGAGUGCUUUGGUUAAGGAAUUACAGAUUCUGUAAUGGUCUUAAGCAGUGGCAUGCUGGUCUAGAAAAGGCCAUACAUGCAUUUAUACACCUUCUGUAUUUGGAAGGAAGUGAUCAAAAUCUUACACUGUAGUACAGCCCACUGUAUUGUACUUCAAUUGUGACCAUCACUGUAUUAACUGUACAGGGUAUGUGGUUUUGGUGACACAAUGAGUUUCUACAAAAAGGAUUGUGGUGCCAGGAAAAUAAUAUGAUUUCUGUAAAGCAGCUGUUGGAAUUCUUAAGGAUUAAUGAUUCUGUUUCCAUGGAAGUAAAUGAUGAAAGUAUAUAUUGGCAGAAUAUUUUCUAA